rnacentral:rRNA from 1 species
GAUGAACGCUAGCGGCAGGCUUAAUACAUGCAAGUCGAGGGGCAGCAUGUCUUGUAGCAAUACAGGAUGAUGGCGACCGGCAAACGGGUGCGGAACACGUACACAACCUUCCUUUAAGCGGGGAAUAGGCCGGGAAACCGGGUUAAUACCCCAUAUUAUAUUGAUCAGGCAUCUGAUUACUAUUAAAGAUUUAUCACUUGAAGAUGGGUGUGCGGC